rnacentral:lncRNA from 1 species
GUGCAUCCACGAAAUUUGAAAUGUUUAUAAUAAACAUAUGCAUCUACAACCAACUUUCUAAACUUUUUGCAAGAGAGGACCUUAAGGUGGUUGUAGUCCCUAAGCGUGCUCGAGACACAAAGCGUGGCUGACUCUAGAGACACAUUAAACAUGCAUGGCUCUUGUGGUAUUUCAAGAAUGAAGCUCCCAUGCUUGUCUAAGGAAUCCUUUCCUUCGGACUCCAGAGUCGUCGCCUCACAAAAUUCC